GCAGGCGCAGCGGAGCCUGGAGAGAAGGCGCUGGGCUGCGAGGGCGCGAGGGCAGGGGGCAGCCGGACCCCGCCCGCACCCAUGGCGCCCUUCGCCAUCUGGGCCGCGCUGGCCGUCGGACUGGAGCUCUGGGCCGCGGGGCACGCCUUGCCCGCCCAGGCCAACAUGCAAAAGUCUUCUGUACCAAGACCUCGGACACCGUGUGUGACUCCUGUGAGGACAGCACAUACACCGAGCUCUGGAACUGGGUUCCCGAGUGCUUGAGCUGUGGCUCCCGCUGUAGCUCUGACCAGGUAGAAACUCAAGCCUGCACUCGGGAACAGAACCGCAUCUGCACCUGCAGGCCCGGCUGGUACUGCGCGCUGAGCAAGCAGGAGGGGUGCCGGCUGUGCGCGCCGCUGCGCAAGUGUCGCCCCGGCUUCGGCGUGGCCAGACCAGGAAAUGAAACAUCAGACGUGGUGUGCAAGCCCUGCGCCCCGGGGACGUUCUCCAACACGACUUCAUCCACGGAUAUUUGCAGGCCCCACCAGAUCUGUAACGUGGUGGCCAUCCCUGGGAAUGCAAGCAUGGAUGCAGUCUGCACGUCCACGUCCCCCACCCGGAGUAUGGCCCCAGGGGCAGUACACUUACCCCAGCCAGUGUCCACACGAUCCCAACACAUGCAGCCAACUCCAGGACCCAGCACUGCUCCAAGCACCUCCUUCCUGCUCCCGAUGGGCCCCAGCCCCCCAGCUGAAGGGAGCACUGGCGACUUUGCUCUUCCAGUUGGACUGAUUGUGGGUGUGACAGCCUUGGGUCUACUAAUAAUAGGAGUGGUGAACUGUGUCAUCAUGACCCAGGUGAAAAAGAAGCCCUCGUGCCUGCAGAGAGAAGCCAAGGUGCCUCACUUGCCUGCUGAUAAGGCCCGGGGUACACAGGGCCCCGAGCAGCAGCACCUGCUGAUCACAGCGCCGAGCUCCAGCAGCAGCUCCCUGGAGAGCUCGGCCAGCGCGUUGGACAGAAGGGCACCCACUCGGAACCAGCCACAGGCACCAGGCGUGGAGAAGGCCAGUGGGGCCGGGGAGGCCCGGGCCAGCACCGGGAGCUCAGAUUCUUCCCCUGGUGGCCAUGGGACCCAGGUCAAUGUCACCUGCAUCGUGAACGUCUGUAGCAGCUCUGACCACAGCUCACAGUGCUCCUCCCAAGCCAGCUCCACGAUGGGGGACACGGAUUCCAGCCCCUCGGAGUCCCCGAAGGACGAGCAGGUCCCCUUCUCCAAGGAGGAAUGUACCUUUCGGUCACAGCUGGAGACGCCAGAGUCCCUGCUGGGGAGCACCGAAGAGAAGCCCCUGCCCCUUGGAGUGCCCGAUGCUGGGAUGAAGCCCAGUUAACCAGGCUGGUUUGAGCUGUGUCGUAGCCAAGGUGGGCUGAGCCCUGGCAGGAUGACCCUGUGAAGGGGCCCUGGUCCUUUCAGGCCCCCACCACUAGGACUCUGAGGCUCUUUCUGGGCCAAGUUCCUUUACUGCCCUCCACAGCCGCAGCCUCCCUCUGACCUGCAGGCCGAGAGCCGAGGCAGCGAGUUGUGGAAAGCCUCUGCUGCCACUGUGUGUCCCUCUCAGAAGGCUGGCUGGGCAUGGACGUUCGGGCCAUGCUGGGGCAAGUCCCUGACUCUCUGUGACCUGCCCCGCCCAGCUGGACCUGUGAGCCUGGUUUUUUGUUUGUUUGUUUGUUUCUCCCCCUGGGCUCUGACCCAGCUCUGGCUUCCAGAAAACCCCAGCAUCCUUUUCUGCAGAGGGGCUUUCUGGAGAGGAGGGAUGCUGCCUGAGUCACCCAUGAAGAGAGGACAGUGCUUCAGCCUGAGGCUGAGACUGCGGGACGGUCCCGGGGCUCUGUGCAGGGAGGAGGUGGCAGCCCUGUAGGGAACGGGGUCCUUCAGGUUAGCUCAGGAGGCUUGGAAAGCAUCACCUCAGGCCGGGUGCAGUGGCUCACGCCUAUGAUCCCAGCACUUUGGGAGGCUGAGGCGGGUGGAUCACCUGAGGUUAGGAAUUCGAGACCAGCCUGACCAACAUGGUAAAACCCCAUCUCUACUAAAAAUACAGAAAUUAGCCAGGCGUGGCGGCGGGCACCUAUUGUCCCAGCUACUCAGAAGCCUGAGGCUGGAAAAUUGUUUGAACCCGGGAGGCGGAGGUUGCAGGGAGCCGAGAUCACGCCACUGCACUCCAGCCUGGGCGACAGAGCGAGUCUGUCUCAAAAGAAAAAAAAAAAGCACGGUCUCCAAAUGCUAACUUGUCCUUUUGUACCAUGGUGUGAAAGUCAGAUGCCCAGAGGGCCCAGGCAGGCCACCAUAUUCAGUGCUGUGGCCUGGGCAAGAUAACGCACUUCUAACUGGAAAUCUGCCAAUUUUUUAAAAGAGUAAGUACCACUCAGGCCAACAAGCCAACGACAAAGCCAAACUCUGCCAGCCACAUCCAACCCCCCACCUGCCAUUUGCACCCUCCACCUUCACUCCGGUGUGCCUGCAGCCCCGCCCCUCCUUCCUUGCUGUCUGGUGUGAUGUCCUAGGCCACACCGUCUCCUUUCAGGGAAUUUCAGGAACUAGAGAUGACUGAGUCCUCGUAGCCAUCUCUCUCCUCCUACCUCAGCCUAGACCCUCCUCCCCCCUCCAGAGGGGUGGGUUCCUCUUCCCCACUCCCCGCCUUCAAUUCCCGGGCCCGAAACGGGUUGCCCCGCCACUUUGGUACAUGGCCAGUGUGAUCCCAAGUGCCAGUCUUGUGUCUGCGUCUGUGUUGCGUGUCGUGGGUGUGUGUAGCCAAGGUCGGUAAGUUGAAUGGCCUGCCUUGAAGCCGCUGAAGCUGGGAUUCCUCCCCGUUAGAGUCAGCCUUCCCCCUCCCCUCCCCCAAACAUGCCCAGGGCCCUGCAGAGGGGAAACCAGUGUAGCCUUGCCCGGAUUCUGGGAGGAAGCAGGUUGAGGGGCUCCUGGAAAGGCUCAGUCUCAGGAGCAUGGGGAUAAAGGAGAAGGCAUGAAAUUAUCUAGCAGAGCAGGGGCAGGUGAUAAAUUGUUGAUAAAUUCCACUGGACUUGAGCUUGGCAGCUGAACUAUUGGACGGUGGGGGAGCCCAGCCAUUACCAUGGAGACAAGAAGGGUUUUCCACCCUGGAAUCAAGAUGUCAGACUGGCUGGCUGCAGUGACAUGCACCUGUACUCAGGAGGCUGAGGGGAGGAUCACUGGAGCCCAGGAGUUUGAGGCUGCAGCGAGCUAUGAUCGCGCCACUACACUCCAGCCUGAGCAACAGAGUGAGACCCUGUCUCUUAAAGAAAAAAAAGUCAGACUGCUGGGGCUGGCCAGGUUUCUGCCCACAUUGGACCCACACGAGGACGUGAUGGAGCGCACCUGCCCCCUGGUGGACAGUCCUGGGAGAACCUCAGGCUUCCUUGGCAUCACAGGGCAGAGCCGGGAAGCGAAGAAUUUGGAGACUCUGUGGAGCCUUGGUUCCCUUGCGUGUGUUGAUCCCGAGACAAUGAAAGUUUGCACUGUAUGCUGGACAGCAUUCCUGCUUAUCAAUAAACCUGUUUGUUUUACACGUCGA
rnacentral:sRNA from 1 species